rnacentral:lncRNA from 1 species
AAAGAUAGAAACCAUUUUUAAAAAGUAAAAAGAGGGAGUUCCUAUCAUGGCUCAGUGGAAAUGAAUCUGACUAGUAUCCAUGAGGACACAGGUUCGAUCCCUGGCCUCACUCAGUGGGUUAAGGAUCACGCAUUGCCGUGAGCUGUGGUGUAGGUCACAGACGCAGCUUGGAUCUGGCGUUGCUGUGGCUGUGGUGUAGGCCAAUGGCUACAGCUCCAAUUUGACCCCUAGGCUGGGAACCUCCAUAUGCUGCAGGUGUGGCCCUAAAAAAACAAAAACAAAAACAAGUAAAAACAAAGUGGGGUAGACCUAAACAGAAGUUCCCUUCAGGGAACAAUAAGUAUGUUUGCUUGACCUUUGCUGAAUAUUUGUGGUCAAGAAUAAAAAUACAGGAGCAAGAAGAGUGUAGGAAUAUAGGAGGAAGAAAAGAGUAUUGCAAAAGACUAGAAACUUUAAGGCUUGCAGGUGUUUAAAGAAGUUAUUUUUUUUUUUCCCUAUGUGGGAUGAAAAGCACAGGAAUGGGGAGACUGAAUACUGGAAAGGCCAAGAGGAUACUUAGAAGACCCAAGUGUGAGGAGGACUAGCCCAGAUGUGCCACAUUGGUAAGGGGGCCUUGUAGAUUGGUUGACUGAAACUGGGAAAUCAGAAGAGAAAUGACAGCUUUCUAUCAGCAUCUUAAGUGGAAAAUGCAUCAGAAUCACCUGAUAGGCAUAUGGAACAUUCAGUUGUAAGGCCUCACCUAGACCUUCUGAGUCUUAAUUUCUAUGAGAAGACCCAGUACUAUCAGGGUUUUACAAGCUCUCCAGAAGAUGCUGAUACAGCUCCUGGUUAAGAAAUGCUGGGAGAAAGUAGUUGAUGGACUUAAUUAGCGUUUAUAUUGUUCGAAUCACCUAGUUGGAAUGUUCUCUAGAGACAGACAAAUAAUCAUUAAAAAAUAAUUUGGGUGACAAUAUUUAUUAUUUUAGUGAAUAUUCAUUGAAUACAUAUUAAGUGUGAUGCAUAUAAGUGCUGAAGACACAAAGAUGAAGGAAAUACAGUUCCUGCCCUCAAGGAGCUAUUAGUCUAUUGAACAAAACAAACAAAACAAAACAAACAGUACAGUAUGUCCAUGUACUGAGUGUUAUCGGAACAUGGGUGGAAAUGAAGGUAUUAAGGAAGGCUUACUGGAAGGGGUGUCCCCUAAACUGAAAACUAGUCUAGAACAAGAGGUGUCAGACCUAGCCUGCUGCCUGUUUUGGUAAAAAAAAAGCUUUAUCAGAACCAUACCAUGUUUAUUCAUUUGUGUAUUGUCUGUGGGUGCCUUAGGACUUCACCUAGAGAGCUAAGUAGUUAUGAUCCUGUGACCCACAGUGCCUCAUUCAUUACAAAAGGUCUGCUAACUGCUGAUGUAAUAGACCAAAGGGGAGGAGAGAAGCCAUUCUAGAAAGUGGGGAUGGUGUGAUGUAUGGUACUGUUCGAGGCAGAGGAAGGAUGCGACAUGAAACUGGGGAGGGAGGCAGGAAUAAGAUCCUUCAAGACUGUGCCCCUAUCUUGGGAAACGUGGGCUUUCUCCAGUGCGGGGGGAGUCAGUGCAGGAUUUUAAGCAGGAACACUCGAGUCAGAUGAACUUAGAUCGAUUUAUUCUGUUUGCUUCAUAGAAUAUAGAUUUAUAGGGGGAAGACUAUAGGAAAUGGGAGGUUUGAAGGAAUAAUUUGUGCAAAAAUUAAUGAAGGAUUAAAAGUGUGACCAUAAAUCUAUAAAUUUAUAAAAUGGAAUAUUAUAUCAUGGUUACAAUGAGGUACAUCUAAAGUAUACUGAUAAGGAAAGAAAAGCUACAGAAUGUUCAGUAAAAUAAUCAAGGAAACUGCAUACACAAACAUGGAAAACAUGUGUUAAUGUAUGCCUAGGAAAAAAUGGAAAGAGGAGUUCCCGUUAUGGCUCAGUGGGAUCGAACCUGCAACCUCAUGGGCCCUAGUUGGAUUCGUUAACCACUGCGCCACAACAGGAACUCCGUUAAUAUGUUUCCUUCUGAUAACUUCUAUAAAAGUCUUUUUCUCCCUUACAAAUAUUAUGUCCCCCCACUUGCAUUUAUUAAAAAUUUUAAAGAAGAAUUUUUAUCACCAGGCUGAAAGCUUAUUUCAACCACAAAUACUGAAUCAUCUUCUUGAUCGUCCUUUUAAGUCCUUCUCUGACUUAUUUAGUUGUACUGCCUUUAGUACAUUAUCCUGCUUUUACCAAGUGUGUAUUUCUCCUUAUGCCAGGUAAAAUCCACUCUUAUUAGCAGACAUUCUUUCUAAAC